AAGCUUUCAACAACGGAUCUCUUGGUUCCGGCAUCCAUAAAGAACGCAGCGAAAUGCGAUAAGUAAUGCGAAUUGCAGAAUUCAGUGAAUUAUCGAGUCUUUGAACGCAUAUUACGCCCCCUAGUAUUCCGGGGGACAUACCUAUCCGAGCGUUAUU
rnacentral:rRNA from 1 species